AAAAGGUUUUCCACCGGCGCUUCCUGAUAUUCCUGCGCCGUUCUUGCCGCCGAUCGGUGGAGGUAUUUUACCUCCUCUUCCGGUGCCGGAUGUACCCAUGCCACCUCUAAUUCCCCCGCUACCACAGCUCCCUGGUAUUCCACUUCCACCUGUUACCCGCCAAAAAUCAUCGGAAUCCGAUAGAUUGGCCGAUCAAAAAAGUUUUGGUUUCCCGUUUCCACCGCCACUGUUCCCACCGCUGCCGUUUGUGCCAUCGCCGCCGUCAUUGAUUCCUCCCGUCAUUCCAACACCACCACCGUCACUGUUCCCUCCCCUCGUUCCAUCAACACCACCAUCAUUGUUUCCUCCCCUCGUUCCAUCACCACCAUCAUCGAUGUUUCCACCAUUGCCCUUUCCACCUGUACCAGGUUUGAUUCCAUCACCGCCGCCGCCACCACCGCCGGCGUUCCCAAUUCCUCUGCCUCCACUACCUCCGCUACCUCCGCUACCUCCAGUACCUCCGGUACCAGGAGUCCCACCGGCGAAAAC
rnacentral:lncRNA from 1 species